rnacentral:rRNA from 1 species
UGAGGAAUAUUGGUCAAUGGACGAAAGUCUGAACCAGCCAUGCCGCGUGAAGGAAUAAGGCCCUAUGGGUCGUAAACUUCUUUUGUAUGUGAGCAAUAAGGUCCACGUGUGGACCGAUGAGAGUAGCAUACGAAUAAGCAUCGGCUAACUCCGUGCCAGCAGCCGCGGUAAUACGGAGGAUGCAAGCGUUAUCCGGAUUCAUUGGGUUUAAAGGGUGCGUAGGCGGCUUGGUAAGUCAGCGGUGAAAUUCCAGUGCUCAACAUUGGCCGUGCCGUUGAUACUGCUGGGCUUGAAUGCGGAUGCCGUGGGAGGAAUGUGUGGUGUAGCGGUGAAAUGCAUAGAUAUCACGCAGAACCCCGAUCGCGAAGGCAGCCUGCCAGGCCGUGACUGACACUG